rnacentral:lncRNA from 1 species
GUGAAAAUCGAAAUACUGAGUAAGCGUAUGCGAAUAUGUAUACGCAAAAUUAAGAAAUUUAUGUCUAUAGUCUUUGAAAACAAAUCUAGCUGCUCUUCUUUGUACGUUCUCUAUGCGGUUAAUGCCUUUUCGUAGAUAUGGGUCCCAUACAAUGCCUGAGUAAUCUAAGACUGAUCGAACUAGCGAGAUGAAGGCAGUUUCCUUAAAAUGUUUGUUACAGUAUUUAUUUUAUGUCUCCCAGAGGCAAGUGCGCGAUGUGUUAACUUUCCUACUACCAGCUAAUCUUCCUAUGCCUAUUGCAUUUACAAAUUUCCCAACCAGUUACAUCCACACUGCACUCAUGAUUUCCACAAAGCGAAAAGACGAAAGAAGAAAAUCGGCGUACUUAGUUUGGUAUAAAACGCUCUCGUGUCUCGGCAACCGACCAAGUCG